rnacentral:tRNA from 1 species
GGGGCUGUUGUUCAGUGGAAGAGUCCCUGCAGGCUGCUUUGCAUACAGGAGGUCCCAGGUUUGAACCCUGGUAUUUCCA